UACGGAGGGGGCUAGCGUUGUUCGGAAUUACUGGGCGUAAAGCGCACGUAGGCGGCUUUGUAAGUUAGAGGUGAAAGCCCGGGGCUCAACUCCGGAAUUGCCUUUAAGACUGCAUCGCUCGAAUUGUGGAGAGGUAAGUGGAAUUCCGAGUGUAGAGGUGAAAUUCGUAGAUAUUCGGAAGAACACCAGUGGCGAAGGCGACUUACUGGACACAUAUUGACGCUGAGG
rnacentral:rRNA from 1 species